rnacentral:rRNA from 1 species
GAUGAACGCUAGCGGCAGGCCUAAUACAUGCAAGUCGAGGGGCAGCGGGGUAGCAAUACUGCCGGCGACCGGCGCACGGGUGCGUAACACGUAUGCAACCUACCUUAAACUGGGAGAUAGCCCGGGGAAACUCGGAUUAAUACCCCAUAAUACAUUUGGUUCACAUGAAUUGAUUGUUAAAGAUUUAUCGGUUUAAGAUGGGCAUGCGUUCGAUUAGCUAGUUGGUAAGGUAACGGCUUACCAAGGCUACGAUCGAUAGGGUGUCUGAGAGGAUGAUCCCCCACACUGGUACUGAGAUACGGACCAGACUCCUACGGGAGGCAGCAGUAGGGAAUAUUGGUCAAUGGAGGCAACUCUGACCCAGCCAUGCCGCGUGUAGGAAGAAGGCGUUCUGAGUUGUAAACUACUUUUGAUUGGGAACAAAUGACUCUUGCGAGAGUAGCUGAGUGUACCAAUAGAAUAAGCCACGGCUAACUACGUGCCAGCCGCCGCAGUAA